rnacentral:misc_RNA from 1 species
GACCUUAAGCAUCCGCCUCCUCCUUCAGGUACGACCACCCGCACAUCCUCGCCGGGCAGGGCACGAUGGGCCUGGAGAUCGUGGAGCAGGUGCCCAACAUCGACGCCGUGGUGAUCCCUGUGGGCGGAGGCGGCCUCAUUGCAGGGGUGGCGCUGGCGGUCAAGGCGUUGCAUCCGCACGUGCAAGUUAUUGGCGUGGAGGCCGAGCGCUGCGCCAGCUUCAGCGCCGCCCUCAAGGCAGGCCACCCCGUCUACGUGAAGGCGGAAUCCACGCUCGCCGACGGUCUGGCGGUGCCCAAAGUCGGGGUCAACGCCUUCGCCACGGCUGCCCCGCUCGUCGAUAAGGUGGUGACAGUGCGUGAGGAGUGGAUCGCCAUCUCCAUCCUGCGUCUGGUGGAGCACGAGAAGGCCGUGGUGGAGGGAGCAGGAGCCACCGCCCUCGCCGCCGUCCUGGCUGGGGAGCUUCCUGAACUGAAGGGCAAGAGGGUCGUCAUACCGUUGUGCGGAGGCAACAUCGACACCACAAUCCUCGGUCGCUGCCUGGAGAGGGGCCUGGCGGCGGACGGCCGUCUCGUCAAAUUCACCGUCACCGUCAGCGACAGACCCGGAGGUAUUGCUGAGCUGACGAGACUGCUGGCCAACUUGGGCGUUUCCAUCAAGGACAUGUUGCACGAAAGAGCUUGGAUUAAGAACGACAUCUUCAGUGUUGAGGUGAAGGUGCUCUGUGAGACGCGCGACAGGGACCACUCUGAGGAACUGCGCUCGGCUCUCUACCAGCGCUACAAGAUCCUCCGCUUCGGCAGCCAAGCGGUCACGCCGGCGGACGCCUCGCACAGGGAAUAGCUCUUCCGUCCACCCAUCUCCUCCCCUCCACUCACUCCCCCCAACCUCUUCUUGCUCGCGCGCUCUUCUCUCGCUAUCCCGUGAAGGUCAUGGCAGAAACUCGAGACCAUGAGCAUUACUUGGAGCUUCGAGCUGCUCUUUUCUCAAGAUACCAGUACGUCCGCUUCGCCAACGCCGAUCAGAUCCACGACUAGAGAUCAAGUGGAGAUUCUUGAAUGA